UACGUAGGGACCAAGCGUUGUUCGGAUUUACUGGGCGUAAAGGGCGCGUAGGCGGCAAUUCAAGUCAGCUGUGAAAUCUCCGAGCUUAACUCGGAACGGUCAGCUGAUACUGUUUUGCUAGAGUGCAGAAAGGGCAACCGGAAUUCUUGGUGUAGCGGUGAAAUGCGUAGAUAUCAAGAGGAACACCUGAGGUGAAGACGGGUUGCUGGGCUGACACUGACGCUGAGGCGCGAAAGCCAGGGGAGCAAACGGG
rnacentral:rRNA from 1 species